AUGCUCCGAGCCCCAGGAACCGUCCUGGGGGCUGGACCACGGGCCCGUGGCCAAUCAGCACAGGCUUGCGGACCGGGCGAAGAGUGGGGGCUCCCGGGAGUGGGGUGGCGGCAUACGCAUUGUCUAGGACUUGUGGGGGAGGGUACGGAAAAAGCUGAGUACUGAGAAUUGGUGGUGGGUGAAGGAACCGAGGGCGAGAAGGUGGCGAGGCGAGGGCGACCAGUGUGGCAGGCUGGGGGUGCGGGCAGAGCUGGCACUGGAUGGGGCCUGUAGCAGGUGGAGAGGCCGUCAGGGCCUCUUGUUUCGUCUCAUUGCGGCUGCGGCAACCAGAGACGGGGCGACCUCCGCUCCGUUUCUAGCCCUGCCGGAUCUUCUCCUAGAGUCCACAGCUCCGGGCGCGUACCAAGGACGCCUCCGCACUGCGGGAUGGCUUUUGCUCCUUGGGAGUGGAUGCGGUGGGUGUGGUUCGCCGCGCAGAGUGGACUUUCCAGCGGUCAGAACGCGGGUGGGGGCGGGGCUGCGGCAGAACAAAGGGCUCACAAAUGCGUGUGAUACUUACCACAACUGAGUAUUUAAAAAUCACACCCCAGGCGCUCACCCUCCCUGGGUUCCGUUCAUCUAUUGUCCCGUACGGGGAUGGGUUCUGAGGCUGGUCCAUCGCCGCCCCACCGCUAACAUUCUUAUCUUUCAUCAGGCGUCAUACCCGCGGCGGCCAAGAGGUACCCCAUCUUCGUACUGCGGAUGGGGUUUCUAGGUAGUCGGAACCUCUUUGUUAAUUUUCGUGUGUGUGUGGGAACCUGCGAGCCCUUGAGUGAGAGAGCGUAAAGGGAGUCUGCAACGUUCACCCUUGACCUGGAACCGAGUCGCUCCUCCUCCACCCCCUUCCCGACCCGGGAAAGGUAGUCUGCGAGCUCCUGCAGAUGCAGAAACUUCGAGGCGAACGACUCCCAAGGUCACACAGCAAGUGAAAAUACGGGCUCAGGCUGGAAUCCCUUCUCCCCGGACGCCCCAGCCCUGGGGAAGGUGACCACGUCGGGUCAAAAGGUCUGCGGCUGGUGUUAGCACCCAGGCCUGGGAUGGCGGCUCUGGCAGGACCGCCCUGUCGGCGUGCUCCGAGCGAGCGAGCACCCGCGCUGAGCCAGAUCUCUGCGGAGUGCUCCGGUGA